rnacentral:rRNA from 1 species
AACGAACGCUGGCGGCGCGCCUAAUACAUGCAAGUCGAGCGAGAAGACGUAGCAAUACGUUUGUAAAGCGGCGAACGGGUGAGGAAUACAUGGGCAACCUACCCUCGAGUGGGGAAUAACUAGCCGAAAGGUUAGCUAAUACCGCGUACGCUCCUUGGACUUCGGUUCAGGGAGGAAAGCGAUACCGUGGGUAUCGCGCUCUUGGAUGGGCUCAUGUCCUAUCAGCUUGUUGGUGAGGUAACGGCUCACCAAGGCUUCGACGGGUAGCUGGUCUGAGAGGACGAUCAGCCACACUGGCACUGCGACACGGGCCAGACUCCUACGGGAGGCAGCAGUAAGGAAUAUUGCGCAAUGGGCGAAAGCCUGACGCAGCGACGCCGCGUGGGGGGAGUGAAGGGU